GCGGAAACGAUGGGAGCUUGCUCCCAGGCGUCGAGCGGCGGACGGGUGAGUAACACUUAGGAAUCUACCUAGUAGUGGGGGAUAGCUCGGGGAAACUCGAAUUAAUACCGCAUACGUCCUACGGGAGAAAGGGGGCAGUUUACUGCUCUCGCUAUUAGAUGAGCCUAAGUCGGAUUAGCUAGAUGGUGGGGUAAAGGCCUACCAUGGCGACGAUCUGUAGCUGGUCUGAGAGGAUGAUCAGCCACACCGGGACUGAGACACGGCCCGGACUCCUACGGGAGGCAGCAGUGGGGAAUAUUGGACAAUGGGGGCAACCCUGAUCCAGCCAUGCCGCGUGUGUGAAGAAGGCCUUUUGGUUGUAAAGCACUUUAAGCAGUGAAGAAGACCUAACGGUUAAUACCCGUUAGCGAUGACAUUAGCUGCAGAAUAAGCACCGGCUAACUCUGUGCCAGCAGCCGCGGUAAUACAGAGGGUGCAAGCGUUAAUCGGAAUUACUGGGCGUAAAGCGAGCGUAGGUGGCUUGAUAAGUCAGAUGUGAAAUCCCCGGGCUUAACCUGGGAACUGCAUCUGAUACUGUUAAGCUAGAGUAGGUGAGAGGGAAGUAGAAUUCCAGGUGUAGCGGUGAAAUGCGUAGAGAUCUGGAGGAAUACCGAUGGCGAAGGCAGCUUCCUGGC
rnacentral:rRNA from 1 species